ensembl:lncRNA
CUCUUCUGUUUGUAAUUGUUAUGCUACCAUCAGUAUGAUUGAUGGAAUAUGCAGAAGGGAGGAGCCGGUGAUUUAAGCUGGCUUUAACCAAAACUUGUUUUCUCAGGCUUUUUGUUUCCCUGCCUAUCCUUCCCCUCUUUCUUCCCUCUCUUCUUUCCCUCCCCGCCCCCCAACCUUUUCUUUCUUUCAUAGAACAAAGGUUUAUGGAGCACUUACUGUUGUACCAAGCAUUGUUCAAUAUGCUGGGGAUUGAAUGACGAGAGGCAGACAAUAAACAAGUCAACAAUACUUAUACAGCUUUAGAGAGCAAUACUUAUUAUGAAGAAAAAGAAAACAUGACAAGGAGGUGGACUGACAGGUGUUUAGAGCUAUUUUCAUUAGGGAGGUCGGGGGAGGUCUCUUGGAGGCAGUGACCUUCAGAAAGGAAGUGUGCUUUGGGAGGAGGACGGUUCCAGUGAAGGCAACAGCAAGUGCAACGUCCCUGGGGAGACAGGCUUAGCCUGCUACGGGUGCAGCAAAGAAUGGUAGAGUGGAUAGAGCUCGGAGUACUUUCAUCGAAACGGUUUGGGAUGUGAAUGGAGAAGAAAGGAUGACCAGACAUUUAACACGAAUGAAUUUAACACGGAGGACCAAAAUAGAAAAAAGGAAAUUGUAAGAAAUUGCUAUCCUAAGAAGCACUGGUGGGAUGAUGAGGAAGUUCUUUUCUGAUUGCUUCUCUUUCCUCUGGAAAACAAGUUUUCAUAUCACUAAUGGAGGUUGGAGGGUGCAGUGUCGUCACUCGAGGCAAGAAGGGGAAUUUCGGAGAGCAGAAGAAAGUACAGUAUUGAGCAGGGAAGCCAUAGGAUUGCCAGGUGUGCUAAGAACCUGCUUGUGAUUCAUCAUUACAGAGUCAAAGUGAGAUUUGUCAACACAGUCGUUUAUCCUCAGCCUUACUCAGUAGCUCAGGGAAAGUCCCACUGUUGGUAGAGUUUGGUUUGAUCCUUCUUGCAGUUUUGUAUAGAAGAUGGUGGGAGAAGGACAAGAGAAUUAAGAGUGUGUACACAAAGAGGAUUUCCUUGGUGGUCCAGUGGUUAAGACUCCGAGCUCCCAAUGCAGGCGGCCUGGGUUCAGUCCCUGGUCAGAGAACUAGAAAGACCUUGAUGCUGGGGAAAAUCAAAUGCAAAAGGAGAAGAGGGCAGCAGAGGAUGAGAUGGUUCGAUAGCAUCGCCAACUCAAUGGACAUGAAUCUAAGCAAACUCCAGGAGAUACUGAAGGACAGAGGAGCCUGGCAUGCUGCAGCCCACGGAGUUGAGAAGAGUGAGACACGGCUUAGCAACUGAACAACAACAAAUGCUGCAACUAAGACCUGGUGGAGCCAAAUAAAUAAAUAAGAUAAAAAAAGAAUUUAAAGAAGAGUGUACACAAAGGAAUCAUGAUAGUUAUAGACAGUUGAACUUAAGCUGGGUGAAGUGGGAUGUGAGGAUGUGAAGAGGGUGAUGGACAGUGAAAAUGUGGACUGGACAAUGGACUAGAGAAACCAAAGGCUGAAGGGUUGUUGAACUGAGGAUAUCAGAGAGUGGACUGGAAGGAUGGAUAGAGUGGAGUGCUGGGAAUCCGAAGGUUUGAAGAGGUGCAGUUACCUCGGCUUGUGGCUGAGGUCGGGUGGCAGAAAAGAGAACAAGGAACUGAGAUGUUGGGCUGCUGGACGUGUUAUCUCAGAGGAUGUCUCAGUUGCAUAAACAAAGAUGAUUUAUGAUAGAGAAGUAAAUAUAAGCCAAAUGAAUAAGCCUUUGAUGAAACUGCUAGAUGUUGCAAGAUGAUUGCCACAAGGCAGGACGAUGGCUGGUCUAGGCUGCUGGUAGGUGCUUCUGAGAGGCUGGGGUUUUGAAGGGAGGAGAAAUUUUUUCAAAGCAAAAACAGAUAAGGAAGACAACAGCCUCACCCCAGAAUGUGUGGAAUGUGGGAGGAAAAAUACCUCUUCAAAGGGGGCUUUGGAGGAUAACCAAAAAUCUGAGAGCAAGAAGGCAAAGGGAUUAGGGUUCCAUCCAGCUUUGAGAUUUUUACCUUUUGAAUUAUAUGCAUUUUACCAUAUGAAUAUGAGCAUUUUAAACUUAAAUUUGAUAUCAACCUUUAUUGCCUGAUAUACAAUAAAUCUUUGUGUUUGUAUUGGUAUUGCAGCUUCUAUUAAGCAACAGUUCUCUUUGUGGAAAACAAUAAGAGUAACAACUAUAUUAUUUCCAGUGGAAAACUUGGCAUUACUCUCCAGUAACCUCUAUACCAAUACUCAUUAAAGAUCUGUACAUUAGAUUAAAAAAAAAAAAAAGAAUGCAAAGAGAAAAACAAGAGAAGAGGUGGACGCUUUGGAGGUUCUUGUUGACCUUAAAUCCCAGAAGGUCCAGUGAGAGAAUCUGGGGCAGGAAAGGGAUGAGGUAGGAGACUGAACCCAAGAGGGGAUGAACAGAGUUGUGUGGGGAUAAGUCAACGAGUGUCUUGGCAAGUGUGGACUUCUGGCAUGUUGCCCAGAGAAAGUGUGUGCCGUGGAUUCCUGGGCUUUAGACGCUGUGCUGUCCUCUUUGUGGCUUUACAGCAGCUCUUUGGCUUCUGCUGUGGUUCCUGUCUUCUGUGCCUCAGAUCUGAGUCCACGAAGCUAGCUUGGGACUAGCACCCUACACAGACGAUGCUGUCUUCUUCAUCCUGUGCAUCUGCCCCAGGCCCUGCAAACUGACUUCCUCCUUCAUUGGCCAGAAACUCUAUGUGAAGUGUCUCAAGCAUGUCAACUUCCCCGCCUUCCAGGGAGGCUGAGACAGUCUUGUGGUCGGUUUGAUUCCUCGCUGGGACACUUCCUACAUCCUCCUUCACUUAUAAUAGAGAAAAAAAUUAAGAACUGCCUAAAUGUCCCACUAGACUGUGUCACAUUCAUAAAGUAAAUUAAUGUACAUCUGUUGCAGGAGGGGACCCCUUCCAGGGCCCGAAACUGGGCUCUUGUCUAACACUCAGAAAUGACUUGUCCGAGGAGACACAUGUGUUGACAAAGCAAGAGAUUUUAUUGGGAAAGGGCACCCGGGUGGAG